AAAAAAGACCUGGAUCAGGAGUACAACAGGGAAGUUAGCUUCCUUGCAGCGUAUUUAAUGAGUAUAAUUUAUAUUCAGAGCGGAACUUCUGGCAAAUAUAGCCCGUUUUAGCAUGACAAGCAGCGAAGUACUUCCCACGUUAGUACACAUCCCUGGAACUGGGGGCGUGGGGGGGGGGGGCGGUGCGCACGCGUGCGUGCCUUCGUGCGUUCCUGACCGCACCUUGACAUUUGCGCCUUUUGAUCUGAUGUCCUUCAUCCACAAGGAGGGUGCCCUAUGCUCCAGCAAGUGGGUCUGAAUUUUAUAAACAGAGAAUCCCAGGCACUGAAAUAACCAAAUCCAUCUCCCCGACCCGGACCACAGGGGCAGUUUCCGGUCCUUGGCCUGACCGCUGUCCCUCAUCACGUCUGGAGGUGACCGCUGUACACCUCCAUACUCAAGGUGCGUCCCCCACGCCUCUGGGGUGACAGAAUGAAAAGCAUCCCUCCCAAGCUCUCCUACCGACGGCGAGGUCAUCGUAGGAUAAAGAAGCGGCGGGGACCACCGCGCGGCCCCUGCGAGCGCGCCCACGGGCUCGCAGCGCUCCCGCGCGCCACUGCGGCGCCGCCACAACCCGCCGCGCGCUGCCGCAGACCCUCCUGCCGCGGGGACGCCCGGGGGCGGGGGCCGCCCACCGCUACCCCCGCCUCCUCAGCUGACUCCUUCACCCCCUGGGAGGCGUCUCCUUGCUCCCGUCCCAUGCUUUCCACUGCAGUGAUGGCGGGGUUGAGGCCGGCGCGUCAGAAUCACCUGUAGGGCUUUUCAGAACUCCGCAGCCCCCUCCCCAAAUUUUAGUCCAUUCAUCCGGAGAGGAAAAACAAAACAAAACAAAAUCUCAGGAUAUGCAGGGUGAGGUGGACCAUGGAGUUUGCGAAAGCCCCACAAGUGAUUCUGGACGCGCACCCCUCAGACGCAAACACACACGGACAAAUCUGGUGACUCGGAGACUACACAGGUCAGGGUCGCUCCCCGACCCGCCUCUCCUAUAUUUGCCGGGGUAUCCGUUUCUCCUCAGCUUCCCUUUAAGCAGCCCAGCCCGGGGGCUUUGCGGAAUUAUCCCCAAAGUCUGCGAACCCUACCGGACUGUCUGAGGCUUUGGCGCCCAGACACCGGGAAAAGCGGUCCCUGCUGCACCCUGGAGCGCGAACUGGAUACCGAGGAGCCAAGAUGAAGAUGGCAAGGCAUGAAGAAAGAGGCUGAGUGACUGCCAAAGCCAUCUAUCUAACACUGGUAACUGAACAGGAGAGAAUGACAGAAUGGUGAAGGAGAUGCAUGGAGAUGGAAGAAGAGACAGGUCCAGGGGUGUCUGGUUCUGCCCAGUCCUCUUAGCCUCAAAGGAUCCUGGGCUCAGUUUGUGAAGGAUUCGCCUGGGUCCUGAACGGUUUAGCAAUACCCGUGCGUCACCUGUAGGAGAUGUUGUGAAGAACUGACGGCCACUAAAAAGCAAUAGGAACCCAGAGGAGAGAAGUCCUAUGUAAGUAUGCAGGAGGAUUAAAAAUAGAAAAAGAAAAUGAACCCAGACCGCAAGUGUGUCUUCAGACUGCCAAGGUCCCAAACUCUUGUGCACCGUGAUGUGAAUGGCGCACUUCCCAACGUCAGGGAACUCAGCUGAGGGGAAGGCCAUAUAAGGAAGAUAAUGACAACAGCUCCAGAGGGGGCAGUGUCCAAGUGCAGAAAGGACGCCUAAUUCCUUUAAAGAAUAAAUGCCACCAAGGGUCCCAGUUCAGCACAUGUACUUGCUGCAUUUAAAAACAUCCCUUUGGGAUAUUUCACAGAACUUGGCAAUGCAAUAAGAUUUCAUUCAUUUAGCAUAUGUUUAUUGUUUAUAGAUUUGGUCUCUAUUAGACCUGGAAAAUGCAGAGGUCUACCAAGGCCAAGCUUUCGAGCAAAAGACAAUGUGUUUGACUACUUCUUCUUCCGUCCCCUUGCCGUGUCUCUCUGGUCUCCUGUGAUCCAUGUGCCCUGCUGUGAGAGACAGUGCCCUGUGCCCAGUGGAAUCCCUUCACAGAGGAAUCCUGGGCUUCACAUCCCAUUCCAAACCCAGAGAAGUGAACUUCUACCAGCAGGCUUUCGGGCAUCGUCCUGGGGAUCAGCUCACCGGACUUAAUUUUUCUGGCCUUGGAAGGGAAAGCUCCUCUUGCAGCCGCUUCCAUAGCAGGGGCAUGGAUGCGGUUGUCCAUGCAGUGAGCAGGUCUCUGUUUCUCAUAGCCGUGCAGCAGCACAAGGGACCGGAUGGAAGAUGAGCUGAAGUCGCCCACUGGGUGCCGGAGCACUCAGCGAAGGGGACCAUCAAGGAAUGUGUGUCCCUGACAAAAGCAUGGCCACCCCAUGGUGGCAGCGGAAAGCAGGCCAGUUUUUAUUGGUUUUGUUAUUGAUCUUAAAUUCUCGAACAGGCAAUAUGCCUUCAUAUACUGUGUGGGGGUCGCCACUGCCAUGGCCACCACCUGCCCCCUGUCUGGUGCCCCACCCCUACCCCGCCUGGCUCUGCACCAGGCAGCCAUCACAGUGUGUCCUGGGAGCUGAAGUCUCAGAGGUGUUCUCAGCAUGAGCUGACAGUGGCCAAGUUAGGAGCGAAGGCAGCUGUGGGGCAGAGCGCUGGGAAGACAGCCUCCUGCCAGGAGGGAGGGGACCUGGCACCUUCUCCCAGAGCUGUCCCUCUCAGUCUCUGCUGACUGUGGCAUCCUGGGAGGCCCGGACUGUGUCCUCCGGUUGCUAGGGCGACUUAAAAAUAGCUUCUACAGCCCGGGAGGGGGCAGGGAAAGAAUGGAAGUUUUGCAGGGAAAACUACAGCCCCUAAAGUCCGCCUGGGUUUGCUUGGGGCAGGAGAGAGAACUGUUUGUACUGCGCUUCCUGCCCGAGGGCCAACCUUUCUGGCCUGGGCUGCAGUGACCCCUCCCAGGGAAGCACCCUGCUGACUCUGGAGAAGGCUCUGUGUGUGCCUUGAACCGGGGGCCUGGCUGGGUGUGGAGGCCACCUGCCAGGGCAUGGGAUGGGGCUCUGGACCUCAGGCAGAGGGGAGGGCUGGGGCCCCUGCCUGGCCCCUGCAUCAGAAAGUCCCACUUUUGGUGUCACUGUAAACAGACUGGUGCCCAGUGUGCCUUAUUGUGUUGCCAACACCCAGCCAGAGGCCACCCUCGUGUUAGGGCAUUUUCCCAGAUCAGCGCGAGUGUCCCAGGACCUAGGCUCGGGUCUAAGUCUCUCUGUCUCUCCCCUGUCCACUUCAAAGGCUGUCUCACAGUUGCUAGGCUUCAGGAAAAAUCAGAAGCAGUUAUUUUUUUCUGGAAAAGAUUCAAGACUCUUGCAUUGAACUGUGCGAGAAACUUCCUCGUCAAGCGGUUUUUGACGAACUCCAAGAAACCACGAAAAUAAAGGCUGAUAUUCCAUGUCAUGGACUAUUGUAAAUUUAAAAAAAAAAAACCUCAUAGAUUGAUUAAAGCAUGGAAAACACUCACAGCAGAGUAAAAGCAGGUUAUUAAAGGGUAUAUAAAUAAUAUCAAUUUUUAGAUUAGGG